rnacentral:lncRNA from 1 species
ACCGAUAGAAGAUGUGGCCACACUGCGUGUAUAUGCCAAUCGUUUCUCAAACCAAACAGCUGGGUCCAAGAAUUUUUCCAUGCAGAAGUAACGGAAAACUGGUUCAAAGUUUUGGCAAAUCGUCAUGAAGGUGGCAAUGUGAAAGACUGAAGAACCUUCCGACUCACCAUCAUUUUCUUUUGGCACUGAUUGGCACUGAAAUCAUUUGGCCUGUAUCUUCUAUGUGCACCGUCUUCGCUGUUAACAAGAUAUUCACCAAUAGGAACGGUUCCUGUGCACCACUCGAGAACACCGCUUCGCUGAGAAAGGGGAACCACCUGAGAUGAAGUCAAAUAUCUCUGAUUAGAAAGACAUUAAAGAACUGUCGGUGACCAUUGAUCAU